rnacentral:tRNA from 1 species
GCUUAGUAGUUUAUUUUAAAACGUUUGACUGUUAAUCACAUAAAGGGUGCCACACCCCUUAGCU